rnacentral:lncRNA from 1 species
UUCUGGAGUGGCGGAGGGGCUCCGCGGCUGACGCCACGCGCCGCCAUAUUGCUCAGGGCAGAAAGCGGUCGAACGCAUUGUAACGCGUGCAUGUGCGUGCGGCCUCUCCGUUGUUUUUCUUGAGUGCGGUGCCUCUAAUCGAAUGAGGCCGCUGUGGCAGACGACUGUGACCUCUUCUGAAGACGAUGGUGGGCUCUUGCGCAGCAUUAUGCUGCGCAAAUCGCGUGAAGCAAACACCGGGGAUAACUUUUCACGUGUUUCCCAAAGACUGCGAAUUGCGCAGUGCAUGGGAGCGCGCUGUGAGGCGAGAAGGUUGGACUCCGAAGAAGAAUGACGUCUUGUGUUCAACGCACUUUGAAGCAGACUGCUUCGAUAGAACAGGGCAAACAACGAGACUACGAGCUGGUAGCAUCCCUACCAAGUUUGCAGCGUUUCCAGCGCACCUACAAAAGCCAGAGAAGAGAAAACGAGCUCCUCCAAAAAGUCGGGAGAUGCCUUCGCCUCAGGAGC